rnacentral:tRNA from 1 species
UUAAAAAAUAGUGUAGCGGGCGCACGAGGGGUUUUGAUCCUCUAAGGGCAGGUUCGAGUCCUGUUUUUUUAG